CCCAGAUCGUUUACCGUGAAAAAAUUAGAGUGUUCAAAGCAGGCAGAUCCAAUUUUCUGCCACCGAAUACAUUAGCAUGGGAUAAUGGAAUAGGACCCUGUCCUCCUAUUUUCAGUUGGUUUUGGCAGCGCGAGGACUAGGGUAAUGAUUAAUAGGGAUAGUUGGGGGCAUUAAUAUUUAAUUGUCAGAGGUGAAAUUCUUGGAUUUAUGAAAGAUUAACUUCUGCGAAAGCAUCUGCCAAGGAUGUUUUCAUUAAUCAAGAACGAAAGUUAGGGGAUCGAAGACGAUCAGAUACCGUCGUAGUCUUAACCAUAAACGAUGCCGACCAGCGAUUAGGAGACGUUGAAUACAAAACACCACCAUCGGUGCGGUCGUCCUUGGCGUCGGUCUUUCGGGGCCGGCGCGGGGACGGCUUAGCCCGGUGGCACCGGUGAAUGACUCCCCUAGCAGCUUGUGAGA
rnacentral:rRNA from 2 species